rnacentral:rRNA from 1 species
AACGAACGCUGGCGGCAUGCCUAACACAUGCAAGUCGAACGAAACGUUCGGGUCUAUUUGCGCACGGGGGCGUAACGCGUGGGGAGCUGCCCUUGGGUUCGGAAUAACUCCCCGAAAGGGAUCCUAAUGCCAGAUAAUGUCUUCGGACCAAAGAUUUAUGGCCUUGGGAUGGGCGCGCGUUAGAUUAGCUAGUUGGUAGGGUAAUAGCAUAGCAAGGGGAGGAUCCAUGGCUGGUCUGAGAGGAUGAUUAGCAACGCUGGGGAUGAGACACGGCCCAGAAUCCUACGCGAGGCAGCAGUGGGUAAUAUUGGACAAUGGGCGCAAGCCUGAUCAAGCAAUGCCGGGUGAGUGAUGAAGGGCUUAGGGUUGUAAAGCUCUUUUAGCCGGGAUGAUAAUGACGGUAACGGGUGAAUAAGCUCCGGCUAACUCCGUG